AAGUCGUAACAAGGUUUCCGUAGGUGAACCUGCGGAAGGAUCAUUAACAAACAGCGUGGGCAGCGGGGCGUGCGGGAAACCGCGCGCACUGCUCGCUCAUCAUCCACCUUUGUGAAUCGGGCGCGUCGUGCAAGCGGCGCGCUUAGUCGGGCGUCCCACAACAUAUCAUUUAUGUCUGAUCUUGUUGUCGAAAGACAGCGAAGCUAAACAUCAAUACAACUUUUAACAAUGGAUCUCUAGGCUCUU
rnacentral:misc_RNA from 1 species